AUAAUAUCAGUAAUCAAUGUACCUCACACAGCCAGAGUAUAUCUAGGCCUGGUGUGGUGAGAGGGCUGGAGACCAGCUCUCUGCUUAAACCUGCUUCAGCUGGCGUAUUUGGAUUUGUGCUUAUGGACGUUAAAACUGGAGAAUUGAGCUUCAGACACCAACAAGUCAGCCAAGACUCCAAAGGUCCAGGAGGUAAAUGAAGCUUUUAAGCAGGGAGGAGGGAAGGGGGACUGCUGAAAAGAUUAAUUGACUUUCUGUGGAGCUUCACUUAUCCUCCGCUGGCACCUUUGACUCGUGUUGAUUUACAAGAACACAGGAAGAGGUGUGGCGGGCUUUGUGUAAAGGUA